CGUAGGGUGCGAGCGUUAAUCGGAAUUACUGGGCGUAAAGCGUGCGCAGGCGGUUUUGUAAGACAGAUGUGAAAUCCCCGGGCUCAACCUGGGACCUGCAUUUGUGACUGCAAGGCUAGAGUACGGUAGAGGGGAUGGAAUUCCGCGUGUAGCAGUGAAAUGCGUAGAUAUGCGGAGGAACACCGAUGGCGAAGGCAAUCCCCUGGACCUGUACUGACGCUCAUGCACGAAAGCGUGGGGAGCAAACAGGAUUAGAUACCCUGGUAGUCCACGCCCUAAACGAUGUCAACUGGUUGUUGGGUCUUUACUGACUCAGUAACGAAGCUAACGCGUGAAGUUGACCGCCUGGGGAGUACGGCCGCAAGGUUG
rnacentral:rRNA from 1 species